rnacentral:rRNA from 1 species
AUAUGCUUAUCGAAACCGGAAAUAGCUGGCUCUCUCCGAAAUAUAUUUAGGUAUAGCGUCAGAUGGUGGUUUGUGGGGGUAGAGCUACUGGAUGAAUGUUUUGGCCCUUGGGCCAGGCAUUUAACCAAACUCCGAAUACCGCAAACUUAAUCUGGCAGUCAGUCCGACCGGGCUAAGCUGGCCGGGCGAGAGGGAAAGACCCCAGACUUCCGUAUAAGGUCUCUAAAUCUAUGUUAAGUGGGAAAGGAAGUGAUUCACCAUAGACAGUCAGGAGGUUGGCUUAGAAGCAGCCAUCCUUUAAAGAAAGCGUAAUAGCUCACUGAUCGAUAUUGGUAGAUUGCGCCUAAAAUGUAAGGAGGCUCAAACAUAGUACCGAAGACGGAGAUUUUCGAUUUAUCGAAAAUGGUAGGAGAGCGUUCUGGCUACAGUGAAGCCGAGGUGUAAACCGAGGUGGAGUUGCCAGAAGUGAGAAUGCAGGCAUGAGUAACGUAAUUCCGAUGAGAAUUCGGAACACCGAAUACCCGAGGUUUCCUCAGCUACGUUGUUCGUCUGAGGGUUAGGCGAUCCUAACAUGAACCCCGUUUAAGCGGGGUUAGUGGAUGGAUAACCGGUUAAUAUUCCGGUCCUUUUUAUAAAUCGUUUUAAGUUGGGGCGGGACAACAUAUGGUAGGUCCAGUGUCAGAGUGAUUUGACAUCUAAGUAUUUAGCAAGAAAGUGUAGGAAAAUCCGCAUUUUCGUUAUUAAGCGAGAUACGAAUGAAAGUCUGACGCAAGUCGGGCAAUUGGGUUGAUCUAUGUGUUUCAAAAAAGCGUCGCAAAUAGAUUUAUAAGAAUUCGUACCGAAAACCGACACUGGUGGGUAGGUCGAGUAGACUAAGGUGUUUGGGAGAAAGAUGGUUAAGGAACUCAGCAAAUUAUCUGGGCGUAAGCUAUGCGAUAUGCCCUGCCCGGCGUAAAAACCGGGCUACAACAAAAGACUACACGGCGACUGUUUAUCAAAAACACAGGUCUCUGCAAACCCGUAAGGGGAAGUAUAGGGGCUGAAGCCUGACCAGUGCCAGAAGGUUAAAUGAGCGGGUUUUUAUCAAUUUAUUGGUAUCUGCCUGUGAUUGAAGCCCUGGUGAACGUCAGCAGUAACUCUAACUGUUCUAAGGUAGCGAAGUCCUUUGUCGGGUAAGUUCCGACCCGUAUGAAAGGUCCAACGACCGUGUAACUGUCUUAACCAUUUACCCAGUGAAAUUGAAAGAGCGGUGAAGAUGCCGUUUAAUUACUGUAGGACAAAAAGACCCCAUGAAGCUUUACUGGAUCUUUACAUUGACAAAAAAAUAAUGAUUGUCGAGAAUAGGAGGGAGCGCUUGCGCAAUAGUGGAAUACCUCUCUUUAUUAUUUUUGAGUCUAACUUUCUUUGACGGAUAUCAAAGGAGGACAGUGUAUGGUUGCCAGUUUGCCUGGGGCAGGCGCCUGCUAAAAAGUAACGCGGGCACACAAAGGUUGACUUAGUCCGGCUGGAAAUCGGACAGUAAGUGCAAAAGCAAAAGUCAGCUUGACUGCGAGACAUACUAGUCGAGGUCCAGCAUUUGGUUGGACCCCCAAAUCUUUAAGGUUUGGGGCAGGGUCGAAAGACGGUUUUAGUGAUCCUCGUGACCCAUUUGGUAUGGGCACGGGCUUAUUGGAUAAAAGCUACUCUGGGGAUAACAGGCUGGUCGCAUCCGAUAGUUCAUAUUGACGAUGCGGUUCGGCACCUCGAUGUCGACUUGGCGCAUCCUGGCCCUGAAGAAGGGGCCAAGGGUUGGUCUGUUCGCCCAUUAAAGCGCUGCGUUAGUUGGGUUCAGAGCGUCGCGAGACAGCUCGGUCUCUAUCCACAGUAAUCGUUUGAUUCUUGAGGGAAUUCAUCUACAGUACGAGAGGACCUAGAUGAGGAAACCGCUGGUGUGCCAGUUGUUCUGUCAAGAGCAUUGCUGGGUAGCCACAUUUCUAUAGGAUAACUGCUGAAAGCAUCUCAAGCAGGAAACCGACCCCAAGAUAAGGAAUCGAUUCCCACUUCGGUGGGAGAAAGAUCGCCGGGAGACUACCGGUUAAUACUUUACAUGUGUAAGCCCCGUAAGGGGUUAAGCUAAGUAAAGGAUACGAUUGAAAAAUCUUUUUG